rnacentral:rRNA from 1 species
AUACGGAGGAUCCGAGCGUUAUCCGGAUUUAUUGGGUUUAAAGGGUGCGCAGGCGGGAGAUUAAGUCGGCGGUGAAAUUUUGCAGCUCAACUGUAAAAGUGCCUUCGAAACUGGUUUCCUUGAGUGUAGAUGAAGUAGGCGGAAUUUGUGGUGUAGCGGUGAAAUGCAUAGAUAUCACGAGGAACUCCGAUUGCGCAGGCAGCUUACUAAACUACUACUGACGCUCAGGCACGAAGGCGUGGGGAUCAAACAGGAUUAGAUACCCUGGUAGUCCACGCAGUAAACGAUGAUUACUAGCUGUUUGCGAUACACAGUAAGCGGCUUAGCGAAAGCGUUAAGUAAUCCACCUGGGGAGUACGUUCGCAAGAAUGAAACUCAAAUGAAUUGACGGGG